rnacentral:rRNA from 2 species
GUCGAGCGGACAGAUGGGAGCUUGCUCCCUGAUGUUAGCGGCGGACGGGUGAGUAACACGUGGGUAACCUGCCUGUAAGACUGGGAUAACUCCGGGAAACCGGGGCUAAUACCGGAUGGUUGUUUGAACCGCAUGGUUCAAACAUAAAAGGUGGCUUCGGCUACCACUUACAGAUGGACCCGCGGCGCAUUAGCUAGUUGGUGAGGUAACGGCUCACCAAGGCGACGAUGCGUAGCCGACCUGAGAGGGUGAUCGGCCACACUGGGACUGAGACACGGCCCAGACUCCUACGGGAGGCAGCAGUAGGGAAUCUUCCGCAAUGGACGAAAGUCUGACGGAGCAACGCCGCGUGAGUGAUGAAGGUUUUCGGAUCGUAAAGCUCUGUUGUUAGGGAAGAACAAGUACCGUUCGAAUAGGGCGGUACCUUGACGGUACCUAACCAGAAAGCCACGGCUAACUACGUGCCAGCAGCCGCGGUAAUACGUAGGUGGCAAGCGUUGUCCGGAAUUAUUGGGCGUAAAGGGCUCGCAGGCGGUUUCUUAAGUCUGAUGUGAAAGCCCCCGGCUCAACCGGGGAGGGUCAUUGGAAACUGGGGAACUUGAGUGCAGAAGAGGAGAGUGGAAUUCCACGUGUAGCGGUGAAAUGCGUAGAGAUGUGGAGGAACACCAGUGGCGAAGGCGACUCUCUGGUCUGUAACUGACGCUGAGGAGCGAAAGCGUGGGGAGCGAACAGGAUUAGA